rnacentral:miRNA from 10 species
UAUUAAGUUGAUGCAAAAGUAAUUGUGGUUUUAGUUUCAAUAGCAAAACCGGCAAUUACUCUUGCACCAACGUUAUAGCUU